AGAGGAUGAAGACAUCACCUCUGAAGACACUAAAAGAAAUGUAGAGCCGCCAAAGUUGCUGGGUGUCCAUCCAUCUUCAAAUGAGAAGGUUCUUCUGAAGAAUGGACCAUAUGGAUACUAUGUUCAGCUUGGAGAAGACAAGAAAGGAUACGUUCCCAAGCGGGCUUCUCUUUCACAGGUGAAGGAUAUCACUUCUGUUACCUUGGAAGAUGCCCUGGAGUUGCUGUGUUACCCUGUAACAUUGGGAAACCAUCCAGAUGAUGACCAGCCUGUCAUUUUAAAGCUUGCAAAGUUUGGAUUUACAAUCAGACAUAGGCGAACAAUUGCUCCAGUACCCAAGAACUUGAAUCCCAAAGACAUUACCCUGGAAAAAGCUUUGAAGCUUUUGUUAAGUAAAGAUGUAAGACGAUGUGGUCGACCUAAGCGCCAGCCACAGGUGG